rnacentral:rRNA from 1 species
AUUGAACGCUGGCGGCAGGCCUAACACAUGCAAGUCGAACGAGUGGCGGACGGGUGAGUAAUGUCUGGGAAACUGCCUGAUGGAGGGGGAUAACUACUGGAAACGGUAGCUAAUACCGCAUACCAUCAGAUGUGCCCAGAUGGGAUUAGCUAGUUGGUGGGGUAACGGCUCACCAAGGCGACGAUCCCGAGCUGGGCUGAGAGGAUGACAAGCAACACUGGAACUGAGAAACGGUCCAGCUUCGUACGGGAGGCAGCAGUGGGGAAUAUUGCACAAUGGGCGAAAGCAUGAUGCAGCCAUGCCGCGUGUAUGAAGAAGGCCUUCGGGUUGUAAAGUACUUUCAGCGGGGAGGCGUUACCCGCAGAAGAAGCACCGGCUAACUCCGUGCCAGCAGCCGCGGUAAUUC